rnacentral:rRNA from 1 species
GGUAACACUAACUGGAGGACCGAACCGACUAAUGUUGAAAAAUUAGCGGAUGACCUGUGGCUGGGGGUGAAAGGCCAAUCAAACCGGGAGAUAGCUGGUUCUCCCCGAAAGCUAUUUAGGUAGCGCCUCGUGAACUCAUCUCCGGGGGUAGAGCACUGUUUCGGCUAGGGGGCCAUCCCGGCUUACCAACCCGAUGCAAACUGCGAAUACCGGAGAAUGUUAUCACGGGAGACACACGGCGGGUGCUAACGUCCGUCGUGAAGAGGGAAACAACCCAGACCGCCAGCUAAGGUCCCAAAGUCAUGGUUAAGUGGGAAACGAUGUGGGAAGGCCCAGACAGCCAGGAUGUUGGCUUAGAAGCAGCCAUCAUUUAAAGAAAGCGUAAUAGCUCACUGGUCGAGUCGGCCUGCGCGGAAGAUGUAACGGGGCUAAACCAUGCACCGAAGCUGCGGCAGCGACACUUUAGUGUUGUUGGGUAGGGGAGCGUUCUGUAAGCCGUUGAAGGUGUGUCGUGAGGUAUGCUGGAGGUAUCAGAAGUGCGAAUGCUGACAUAAGUAACGAUAAAGCGGGUGAAAAGCCCGCUCGCCGGAAGACCAAGGGUUCCUGUCCAACGUUAAUCGGGGCAGGGUGAGUCGACCCCUAAGGCGAGGCCGAAAGGCGUAGUCGAUGGGAAACGGGUUAAUAUUCCCGUACUUGGUGUUACUGCGAAGGGGGGACGGAGAAGGCUAUGUUGGCCGGGCGACGGUAGUCCCGGUUUAAGCGUGUAGGUGUGUGUUCCAGGCAAAUCCGGUUCACUUUAACACUGAGGCGUGAUGACGAGGCACCACGGUGCUGAAGCAACAAAUGCCCUGCUUCCAGGAAAAGCCUCUAAGCAUCAGGUAACAUCAAAUCGUACCCCAAACCGACACAGGUGGUCAGGUAGAGAAUACCAAGGCGCUUGAGAGAACUCGGGUGAAGGAACUAGGCAAAAUGGUGCCGUAACUUCGGGAGAAGGCACGCUGACACGUAGGUGAAGUGAUUUACUCA